rnacentral:rRNA from 1 species
AUUGAACGCUGGCGGCAUGCCUUACACAUGCCAGUCUAACGGCAGCACGGGGCAACCUGGUGGCGAGUGGCGAACGGGUGAGUAAUGCAUCGGAACGUACCUUUAAGUGGGGGAUAACGUAGCGAAAGUUACGCUAAUACAGCAUAUUCUGAGAGCGGGAAAGCAGGGGAACGCAAGACCUUGCGCUGAUUGAGCGGCCGAUGUAGGAUUAGCAAGUUGGUGAGGUAAAGGCUCACCAAGGCGACGAUCUGUAGCGGGUCUGAGAGGAUGAUCCGACACACUGGAACUGAGACACGGUCCAGACUCCUACGGGAGGCAGCAGUGGGGAAUUUUGGACAAUGGGGGCAACCCUGAUCCAGCCAUGCCGCGUGAGUGAAGAAGGCCUUCGGGUUGUAAAGCUCUUUCGGCCGGGAAGAAAUCGCACGGGCUAAUACCCUGUGUGGAUGACGGUACCGGAAUAAGAAGCACCGGCUAACUACGUGCCAGCCGCCGCAGUAAAAC